CAGCAGCCGCGGGAAUACGAAGGGUGCAAGCGUUACUCGGAAUUACUGGGCGUAAAGCGUGCGUAGGUGGUGGUUUAAGUCCGUUGUGAAAGCCCUGGGCUCAACCUGGGAAUUGCAGUGGAUACUGGGUCACUAGAGUGUGGUAGAGGAUAGUGGAAUUUCCGGUGUAGCAGUGAAAUGCGUAGAGAUCGGAAGGAACAUCUGUGGCGAAGGCGACUAUCUGGGCCAACACUGACACUGAGGCACGAAAGCGUGGGGAGCAAACAGGAUUAGAGACCCGUGUAGUCCCUGUCUCUUAUAC
rnacentral:rRNA from 1 species